CCUACGGGAGGCUGCAGUAGGGAAUCUUUCACAAUGGGCGAAAGCCUGAUCGAGCAACGCCGCGUGCAGGAUGAAGGCCUUCGGGUUGUAAACUGCUUUUAUAAGCGAGAAAUAUGAUGGUAACUUAUGAAUAAGGAUCGGCUAACUACGUGACAGCAGCCGCGGUCAUACGUAGGAUCCGAGCAUUAUCCGGAGUGACUGGGUGUAAAGAGUUGCGUAGGUGGGAUAAUAAGUAGCUAGUGAAAUCUGGUGGCUCAACCAUUCAGACUAUUAGCUAAACUGUUAAGCUUGAGACCGUUAGGGGUAGCUGGAAUUUGUGGUGUAGGAGUGAAAUGCGUAGAUAUUAGAAAGAACACCGAUAGCGUAGGCAGGUUGCUGGGACGGUUCUGACGCUGAGGCACGAAAGCGUAGGGAGCAAACGGGAUUAGAUACCCCUGUAGUC
rnacentral:rRNA from 1 species